rnacentral:rRNA from 1 species
UACGUAGGGUGCAAGCGUUAAUCGGAAUUACUGGGCGUAAAGCGUGCGCAGGCGGUGAUGUAAGACAGUUGUGAAAGCCCCGGGCUCAACCUGGGAAUUGCGAUGAAGACUGCAAGGCUUGAAUCUGGCAGAGGGGGGUAGAAUUCCACGUGUAGCAGUGAAAUGCGUAGAGAUGUGGAGGAACACCGAUGGCGAAGGCAGCCCCCUGGGUCAAGAUUGACGCUCAUGCACGAAAGCGUGGGGAGCAAACAGG